rnacentral:rRNA from 1 species
CCAGCAACUUGGAGGAAUGUAUAGCGAUAGCUAAUUGCAUCGAAAAUAUGAUGCAAGAUCGAUUUAUUGAAUAAAAUUCUGGGUAGAAUUAUGAUUAUGACAUUGUCUACCCAUGUGUCUUGACCAAAUUACGUGCCAGCAGUCGCGGUAAUACGUAGAAGACUUGUGUUAUUCAUCUUUAAUAGGUUUAAAGGGUACCUAGACGGUAAAUCAAGCCCUAGACGGGACUAUUUUGCUAGAGUUACUUGUGAGGGGGUUUUAAAGUACUAAUGGUGUAGAGAUGAAAUUUUGUAAUACCAUUUUUCGAAAGAAAAGUAAUGGCACAGGUAUAGGCGAAAGCAUCCCCUUAUGUGAUAACUGACGUUGAAGGACGAAGGCUUUGAGUCGCGAACAGGAUUAGAUACCCUGGUAGUCAAAGCAGAAAAUUAUGAGUGUCAUAGAUUAGAUAUUAAAGUUUAUUCUAUAAAUGAAAGUGUAAGCACUCCACCUCAAGAGUAAUUUGGCAACAUUGGAACUGAAAUCAUUAGACCGUUUCUGAAACCAGUAGUGAAGUAUGUUGUUUAAUUUGAUAAUCCGCAAAAAACCUUACCACAAUUUGAAUAUUUAUAUCGUUGAUAUAAUUACAAGCGUUGCACGGCUGUCUUCAGUUAAUGUCGUGAGAUUUUGGUUAGAUCCAUUAAAUUAACGCAAGCCCUUACUUUAUUUUAAAAUAAAGUCGUUCCCCACUAGAUUGGAUAAGAUAACAGGGAUUAAGACAAGUCAUCAUGGCCUGAAUAUUGUGGGCUAUAGACGUGCCACAUAAACCUUUACAAAAGGAUGUGAAAUUGUGAAAUUGAGCUAAU